rnacentral:rRNA from 1 species
UACGUAGGGGGCUAGCGUUGUCCGGAAUCAUUGGGCGUAAAGCGCGUGUAGGCGGUCCGGUAAGUCCGCUGUGAAAGUCGGGGGCUCAACCCUCGAAUGCCGGUGGAUACUGUCGGGCUAGAGUGCGGAAGAGGCGAGUGGAAUUCCUGGUGUAGCGGUGAAAUGCGCAGAUAUCAGGAGGAACACCUAUUGCGAAGGCAGCUCGCUGGGACGUAACUGACGCUGGGACGCGAAAGCGUGGGGAGCAAACAGG